GAUGCUCAGUGCUAUAUAUAAUCAUGUGGUAUAAAUAAGAUAAUUAAGCUAUAUAUUUUUGUUCUUCAACCUCCUUUCAGUUUCAGAUGGCCAACCAUUAACUGUUAGAGAUGAGAAGUACCUAAUGUAAGACCAAAGGUGGGGUUCUGAUGGUUUUGCUGGAUGGCUGCAGCUAAUCGAGUGGUGUGAGACCCCUCUUGUGUCCCCAAGACAUUGGUCCAUGCUUCUUAUUUUUGGAUGCGUGCCUCUAACAAGCAGAAUUCUUGUUUUUGCAGCUACGCACAGCAAGAUUUUACACAUCAAGAUCUUUGAUAAGAUAGUAAUGACACUUUGUUCUGCAAUCUAGGAAUGAAUGAAACUUCAAGACCCUGUUGAACAUGCACUCAAUUUAGCCACAAAGAAACAUAAGAACAAUUGUGUUUGGAUGAGGAUCUAUAGUCCAAAGGUUGGUCAGGUACUGAUGGAUUGAGAAGGUUCUAUGAUAUCGUGCUUUCUUCCAUCUCUGUUCUAUUCAUCAAGCUUUUCUCAUUUCAAAAGGAGAAUCCCUGCAGGGCAGCCACACAUGACCCCGCUCCCCAGUUUAUUCGUUCAUGGCACAUCAGCUCUUUCACCCACUUGACCCAGCGGUAAAACAAAGGGUUCAGUUCACCCAGUCAUGUCCAAAGUAGCCUCACUCCCUGGUAUUCCCUUGUAGGACUUGAUCCGCUGUCACUCUCCAACUUAUUAUCAUUCAAGAUGGAGGUUUUACUUUCCAACUUCAGCAAUUUGUUAGAUUUGGUAAUUGAGGUCAUGAGUGCAAAAGUAAUACAGGCAUGCCAAACAAAUCUGAGCCAUUCAUGUCAUCCUGCUCCUCAUUCAUUUCACUCAAAAAUUAAAUCAGAAAAAUUGUGGAUGUUAUUGUGGCAUCAAUACGGCUUCAUUCCGCUUGAUCCGGCAUGGCAGAGGUCAAUCUUCAUCAUGAAUGCCUAUAUGUAUUUAUUAAUAUCUUUUAUUGUUUGUGUUUAGUGAAUAAAAACUGCAGUAGAUUCCCACCUCUUAUUAUGGAUGCACAAGUGCUUCACAAUGUUUCCGUUGCUGAUAUCUUUGCCCUGUCUGUCUAGGUUAAAUGUCAGUGCUUCACAAUGCGCUUUUUACUUUGCACGAUCUAACAAUGCAUGCCAGCCUUCUGAUAAUUAUACAAUAGUAUGCAGCGAUGCUACUAAGGCAUGCUGAAUGCGGAGUUUUAUUUCAUUUAUGUUAGUACCCAUGUGAAUAUUGAAUUGUUUUACUUCGAUGGUUUAACACAUGUCAUAAUAUAGUUAGUAGUUAGGAGAUGGCAUUAAUCUUUUUGUUUCUUUAGCAAAUACUCUCUUCGUUUCAAAAUAGAUGACUCAGUUUAGUACAAAGUUAGUACAAAGUUGGGUCGUCUAUUUUAAAACGGAGGGAGUAGUUCUCAUGUUACAGGGUGCGUGGACAAACAGAUGCAAGGGGCAUUGUUUCACACAACACCCACACCAAUGACCACUGGACGAGUGAAGCAAAAGGACUUGUGAACAACAUGAAAAAGUUUCAGCCAUCUUUUGAUUACACGGAAAUAUGCAUUUGAUGCAUCUGUGUUAUUAUUCAGUGCCCGAUUGUGUUUAGCAACUUCAGUGUGUAUACUCUUCAGUAUGUAGCAUCAAGUUACUGCUAGAUACAUUCAUUUGAGGAACAAACUUGGGACAAGCUUUUUCGGACGG